rnacentral:rRNA from 1 species
AUGUGGCGUUUUACGGGUUUUUAUGGCCAUCCAGACUGGACUGAUUGUAAUUUAUCUUGGGUGGUUAUUCAUAACCAGUAUAAAAAGGGUAAUUAUCCAUGGGUGGUUUUAGGAGAUUUCAAUGAGAUUUUGUUUUCGCCGGAAAAUGAGGGUGGCAUUGUGAGACCAAACGUAAUGUUGAAGGACUCCCGUGAUUUCCUCACAAAGUGUGGUUUGGACGACAUAUGGUUCAUUGGCAACCCCUUCACUUGGAGAAGAGGUUAGAUUUGGGAACGUCUUGAUCGUGCAGUCUGUAAUGUAGAGUCGGCACAUAAAUUUCCUCCGGCAACGGCUAUUAACGAAGAACACGUACUCUCUGACCAUCGCCCCUUGGUUUUGGAUUUGGAUAAUUUCGAUGGCAAUUGA